rnacentral:rRNA from 1 species
AUUGAACGCUGGCGGCAGGCCUAACACAUGCAAGUCGAACGAGUGGCGGACGGGUGAGGAAUGUCUGGGAAACUGCCAGAUGGAGGGGGAUAACUACUGGAAACGGUCGCUAAUACCGCAUACCAUCGGAUGUGCCCAGAGGGGAUUGUCUAGUAUGUGGGGUAACGGCUCACCUAGGCGACGAUCCCUAUCUGGUCUGAGAGGAUGACGUGCAACACGGGAACUGAGACACGGUCCAGACUCCUAUGGUCGGCACUCGUGGGGAAGAAUGAUGUAUGGGUGAAGGUCUGCUGCCGCGCUGCCGCGUGGAUGAGGAGGUAAUUAGGGUUGUUAAGCACUUUCAGCGGUUCGGCGUUCCCUGCAUAAGAAGCCCCGGCUAAUUCCGUGCCAGCAGCCGCGGUAAUAC